rnacentral:lncRNA from 1 species
AACAUAUUUUUGCAAAGUGUGAGAUGCACAUACUCCCAAAGUAAAUCAGGUCUAUUGCACGGAACCUGUGUUGUAUUAUUAAGUUGAACAAGAACAAUAGCGUGAAACAAAAAUUAUAGGUAGGCAAGACAUGUACAUAAAAAUAUGAACAUUCUUACAAAAAUUCACAAGAGAAAAUGGAGGGACCAUCAAACAAACCCAACAUAUGCAACAAAAUGAUAUUCUGACCUCAAAGUUACCCACAAAAGAGAUCCCAAUGCGAGAACAGAUACUAGGUGGUAGUGAGCAUUAUCUAUUGCACAAAAGGUAAUCGGACAUUAUCCUUAUACAUUAUGAAUCAACCCCCCAAAUGAUAUGGUUGUGGCCAACGAGAGGUCGCUGAGGAGGCAACCGGGAUCCUCCCUGCUGGUAGAUCUGGUCGUCAUUGUCCACUAGGCCAAGAUCUGGAGUGGCCAUCCCGCGCACGGCCACAAAAGAGAUCCCAAUGCGAGAACAAAUACUAGGCGGUAGUGAGCAUUAUCUAUUGCACAAAAGGUAAUCGGACAUUAUCCUUAUUCAUCAUGAACCAACCUUCCAAAUGAUAUGGUUGUGGACGACAAGGGGUCGCCGAGGAGGCAACCGAGAUCCUCCCUGCCGGUAGAUCUGGUCGUCGUUGUCCACUAGGCCAAGGUCUGAAGUGGCCAUCCCGCACACGGCAACAAAAGAGAUCCCAAUGCGAGAACAAAUAAUAGGUGGCAGUGAGCAUUAUCUAUUGCACAAAAGGUAAUCGGACAUUAUCCUUAUUCAUUAUGAACCAACCUCCCAAAUGACAUGGUUGUGGCCGACGAGAGGUCGCUGAGGAGGCAACCGAGAUCCUCCCUGCCAGUAUAUCUGGUCGUCGUUGUCCACUAGGCCAAGAUCCGAAGUGGCCAUCCUACGCACGGCCACAAAAGAGAUCCCAAUGCGAGAACAAAUACUAGGUGGUAGUGAGCAUUAUCUAUUGCACAAAAGGUAAUCGAAAAUUAUCAUUAUUCAUUAUGAAC